GAUGAACGCUGGCGGCGUGCUUAACACAUGCAAGUCGAACGGAAAGGCCAGUGCUUGCACUGGUGCUCGAGUGGCGAACGGGUGAGUAACACGUGGGUGAUCUGCCCUGCACUUUGGGAUAAGCCUGGGAAACUGGGUCUAACACCAGAUAGGACCAUGCUUUGGAUGGUGUGGUGGAAAGUUUUUUCGGUGUGGGAUGAGCUUGCGGCCUAUCAGCUUGUUGGUGGGGUAAUGGCCUACCAAGGCGUCGACGGGUAGCCGGCCUGAGAGGGUGUACGGCCACAUUGGGACUGAGAUACGGCCCAGACUCCUACGGGAGGCAGCAGUGGGGAAUAUUGCACAAUGGGCGCAAGCCUGAUGCAGCGACGCCGCGUGGGGGAUGACGGCCUUCGGGUUGUAAACUCCUUUCGCAACUGACGAAGCUUUUUGUGACGGUAGGUUGAGAAGAAGCACCGGCUAACUACGUG
rnacentral:rRNA from 1 species